UACAAUGUUGUACUAUAUUUCUUUUACUGAAUUCCGGUUUAGAAACUGCGGCAAAUUGAAGACCUGAAGGAACAACAGAAAUCAGGAAAAAUACUAGAGAAAAAUCAGAUGGACAAAAUAGCAGCAGAGGAAUCUCUAAUAAAGGAAAUACAAGAACUUGAACUUGGAAGAUGACAUCAAGGAUUUAACUUCCUUGUCAAUAGUUUUAUUCUGCACUUUCUGUUUCUAUAACACUUCCUGAAGGAUAGAAACAACAACUGAUGAAUUGUCAUGUUUAAAAGUAGUGUGAUCUACACAAUGCAGAUCUUGCUACUUUCAAACAUCACAAAUGAACAAAUUAUAGUUUUGGAAGUUCUACUUAGAACCGUGAAUUCUUUUGUUCUUAGAGGGGAAUCUUUGUUCCCAAAAAUUGCCCCAUUGUCAUAAAAUUAAUGAUUCAGAUCUGAUCAAGCUACAGAACUAUCAAUUUUUAUUGACUGUCCCAAGGAAUUUGAGCCUGUUGUAUUGAGUACUUUUUUUGUGCAACACAGGUUUAGAAACUCAAAAUUUUCCCACCCAGACAUUUUGCAGUUUCGCAUUAAAUAUUACACCCAAAAAGCCAAAAAUGUAUCCAGUUACUAAGUUUUACCAGCUCUUUAAAUGUUUGGGGUCAAUUUGUAUCUGGCAUAAUGCCUUCUCUGCACAAAGUCAUAUGUUAGUGUGGAAAAGUGUAAACAGUGAUGUAAGCAAAGAUCACCCUGUACAGUCACUCCUAUGCUAAUAGACAUAUCCUGUGAUUACACAGGACUAUGAGUAGUCCCUCUUUCACUUAGUCUGUCAAGUGAGACCCCAAAUAAACCGCGGGGAAAAAAUGGCCGCGUGAAACCCCCAGGAGUUCGCACGGCCAUUUUUUCUCGUGGUUUUCUUUUUGAUCAAUACACGACAAACUAAACGAAAGAGGGACUACUCGUUCAUGCAGCCAGCUACAUAGAAACACUUCAUUUGAAGCCUACCAUAUGUGUAAAUCUGUCCUAUGUAGACCAUUUUCAGGGUUUCUGCUUACAUCAAGUUAAUUUUGAGUGCAAUUACAUGUCUGAAUGACAAAGGUUUCUAACACUUCAAGUAAAGGUGUUACAUGUAAAUGCAAGUGCAAUCAGGACCUUGUAUUCUGGCUGACAAAGUAACAAGUGAUCAACUUGUGAUUCUCCUUAUUAAGUGCCAAUACCUAAACAAGCAUUCAAGUGUAGAGAUUUAAGAAUUGAUCAAUGACGAGAAACUAUUUUAUUUAAAACGUUUUUUUUUUUUCAACUAGACUAGCACAAUAAGAAGUGAAUGGAAACCUGUAUGGAGAAUUUGUAUGUUGACAAUGGAGUUGAAACAAGAGCUGUGAUAGUGAUGGUUAACUUGGGACAAAUUUAUUAUUUUACAUCCAUUAGAUUCACAAAUUAUAAUUAUAUGUUUCAAAUAGUUUCAAAACACACACUGGCCUUCUACAUACUGUACUUCUUGCAUAAGACAAUUUGCUAUUAAUAAAUAGUUCUAAUAUUUUA